GACGAACGCUGGCGGCGUGCUUAACACAUGCAAGUCGAGCGAGGCUCCUCCUUCGGGAGGAUGUCCUAGCGGCGAACGGGUGAGUAACACGUGGGCAACCUGCCCCUAGCACUGGGAUAACCCCGGGAAACCGGGGCUAAUACCGGAUACGACUUCGGAAGGCAUCUUCUGAAGUGGAAAAGGUUUACUGGCUAGGGAUGGGCCCGCGGCCUAUCAGCUUGUUGGUGGGGUAAUGGCCUACCAAGGCGACGACGGGUAGCCGGCCUGAGAGGGCGACCGGCCACACUGGGACUGAGACACGGCCCAGACUCCUACGGGAGGCAGCAGUGGGGAAUAUUGCACAAUGGGCGAAAGCCUGAUGCAGCGACGCCGCGUGAGGGAUGACGGCCUUCGGGUUGUAAACCUCUUUUAGCAGGGAAGAAGCGAGAGUGACGGUACCUGCAGAAAAAGCGCCGGCUAACUACGUGCCAGCCGCCGCCGUAAAAC
rnacentral:rRNA from 1 species